rnacentral:rRNA from 1 species
AGCGAACGUUUGCGGCGGGCCUAACACAUGCAAGUCGAACGCACUAGCAAUAGUGAGUGGCGCACGGGUGCGUAACACGUGGGUAAUCAACCCUUCAGCUUGGGAUAACGACUUGAAAGGGUCGCUAAUACCGGAUACGGCGCGGGAGGCUUCGGCUUCUCACGAGAAAGCCUCGCAAGGGGCACUGAAGGACGAGCCUGCGGCCCAUCAGCUAGUUGGUGAGGUAAGAGCUCACCAAGGCGAAGACGGGUAGCUGGUCUGAGAGGAUGAUCAGCCACACUGGAACUGAGACACGGUCCAGACUCCUACGGGAGGCAGCAGUGGGGAAUAUUGCGCAAUGGGCGAAAGCCUGACGCAGCCACGCCGCGUGAGCGAUGAAGGCCUCGGGUCGUAAAGACUCUGUGGGGAGGAGACGAAGAAAGACCCGUGAAGAGCGGGCCGUUGACGGUAUCUCCUUAGCAAGCACCGGCUAACUCCGUGCCAGCAGCCG